AAUGAACGCUGGCGGCAGGCCUAACACAUGCAAGUCGAGCGGUAGCACAGAGAGCUUGCUCCCGGGUGACGAGCGGCGGACGGGUGAGUAAUGCCUGGGAAACUGCCUGAUGGAGGGGGAUAACUACUGGAGACGGUAGCUAAUAUCGCAUAACGACGCACGACCAAAGUGGGGGACAUUCGGGGCUCAUGCGAACAGAUGUGCCCGGUUGGGAGUAGCUAGUAGGGGGGGUAACGGCGCACCUAGGCGACGAGACCCAGCUGGUCUGGGAGGAUGAGCAGCCACACUGGAACGGGGACACGGUCCAGACUCCUACGGGAGGCAGGAGUGGGGAGUGUUGCACAAUGGGCGCAGGCCUGAUGCAGCCAUGCCGCGUGUGGGAAGAAGGCCUGCGGGUUGUAUACCACUGUCAGUGUGGAGGAAAUAUAGUGGGGUUCUCCCCAUUAUUUGACCUAUGCGCAGAGGAAGGACGGGCUAAGUUCGUGCCAGCAGCCGCGGUAA
rnacentral:rRNA from 1 species